rnacentral:ncRNA from 2 species
AAGAGGGAACCCGGUGGAACUCCGGGACUGCCCCGCAGCGGUGAGUGGGAACGACAGUCGUCAUCAGCACUGGGCACCAGCCCGGGAAGCGACGACCGGUAGGUGCGGGUACCCCGGUACCCGCGAGCCCACGAGUCCGAAGACCU